AGUCAGUGCGUGGGGGCGGUAGGAGGCAGGAAUACCUCCACUAUCUCGUAGCCACGGAACUCUGUGGUUUCAGUAGCCAAAACUCUUAUCUAAAGGAGCUAAAUGGUUCGAGAAGAUGGGAGGUGAAAGUUCACUCGAGGGAAUUUGCUUCAUUAAGAGGCAUGCAGCGUGAUCUGCAUGAUCCCUACGGUCAUCCUACUGCUGUGUCUCAGGGGGCCUCGCUAGCUGUUAAAUAUGAUGCCGAAGAACACGCUCUCCACGUUCCGACAUCUGUUCCUGCUCUCCUCCUGCACCUUCGGAACCUGUUUCCAACACACUCUUGGCUUCUGUCACUCAGGACCCAGAUGGAUGCAUCUCAAUGGACACAACUCUUUUAAAAUGGCUCAGUGGAAGACUCCAGAUAUCCACCAAUCAAGGAAGAAAAAUCAAGAUACGUGGAGUCACACAGACCUGGAUUUAGGUCUGGAUAUGAUGUAAUUUCUCUUAGAGCCUGUAAGAACUUGGGAAAAUGUUCUAAGAUCUUUGGGUGCUAAUUAGCUCACCCGUAAAACUCAGAUGGUGAUAUGCUCUCCAUUUACAUUAAGGUGAGACACAAACAAAAUGCCUAGUUCAGUAAAUGAAUUGAAAAUGCUC